rnacentral:rRNA from 1 species
CCUACGGGCGGCAGCAGUGGGGAAUCUUCCGCAAUGGGCGAAAGCCUGACGGAGCAACGCCGCGUGAUCGAAUGAAGGCCUUCGGGUUGUAAAGAUCUGUUGACAGGGACGAAUAAGCCAUUCGCAUAGUUUGGUGUAUGACGGUACCUGUUUAGAAAGCUCCGGCUAACUACGUGCCAGCAGCCGCGGUAAUACGUAGGGGGCAAGCGUUGGCCGGAAUUCCUGGGCGUAAAGGGCGCGUAGGUGGGUGCUUAAGUCAGGUGGUAAAACUCUGGGCUCAACCUGGAGACUGCACUUGAAACUGGGUAUCUUGAGGGCAGGAGAGGAAAGUGGAAUUCCUAGUGUAGCGGUGAAAUGCGUAGAUAUUAGGAGGAACACCAGUGGCGAAGGCGACUUUCUGGACUGUAACUGACGCUGAGGCGCGAAAGCGUGGGUAGCGAACGGGAUUAGAUACCCGUGUAGUC